rnacentral:rRNA from 1 species
AGCGAACGCUGGCGGCAGGCUUAACACAUGCAAGUCGAACGGGCGUAGCAAUACGUCAGUGGCAGACGGGUGAGUAACGCGUGGGAACGUACCUUUUGGUUCGGAACAACCCAGGGAAACUUGGGCUAAUACCGGAUAAGCCCUUACGGGGAAAGAUUUAUCGCCGAAAGAUCGGCCCGCGUCUGAUUAGCUAGUUGGUGUGGUAACGGCGCACCAAGGCACGAUCAGUAGCUGGUCUGAGAGGAUGAUCAGCCACAUUGGGACUGAGACACGGCCCAAACUCCUACGGGAGGCAGCAGUGGGGAAUAUUGGACAAUGGGCGCAAGCCUGAUCCAGCCAUGCCGCGUGAGUGAUGAAGGCCCUAGGGUUGUAAAGCUCUUUCGCACGCGACGAUGAUGACGGUAGCGUGAG